GAAAUGCGAUAAGUAAUGUGAAUUGCAGAAUUCAGUGAAUCAUCGAAUCUUUGAACGCACAUUGUGCCCCCUGGUAUUCCGGGGGGCAUGCCUGUUCGAGCGUCAUUUCACCACUCAAGCCUCGCUUGGUAUUGGGCGACGCGGUCCGCCGCGCGCCUCAAAUCGACCGGCUGGGUCUUUCGUCCCCUCAGCGUUGUGGAAACUAUUCGCUAAAGGGUGCCGCGGGAGGCCACGCCGUAAAACAACCCCAUUUCUAAGGUUGACCUCGGAUCAGGUAGGGAUACCCGCUGAACUUAAGC
rnacentral:misc_RNA from 1 species